AAUCAACGCUGGCGGCGUGCCUCAGACAUGCAAGUCGAACGAUUAAGACUUCCUUCGGGAAGUGUAUAAAGUGGCGCACGGGUGAGUAACACGUAAGUAAUCUACCUUCGAGUGGGGAAUAACAUCGGGAAACCGAUGCUAAUGCCGCAUAAUGCAGCGGCAUCGCAAGAUGACAGUUGUUAAAGGAGCAAUUCGCUUGAAGAGGAGCUUGCGGCAGAUUAGGUAGUUGGUAAGGUAAUGGCUUACCAAGGCUACGAUCUGUAUCCGGUCUAAGAGGACGGUCGGACACACUGACACUGAAUAACGGGUCAGACUCCUACGGGAGGCAGCAGUCGGGAAUUUUGGGCAAUGGGCGAAAGCCUGACCCAGCAACGCCGCGUGAGGGAUGAAGUAUUUCGGUAUGUAAACUUCGAAAGAAUGGGAAGAAUAAAUGACGGUACCAUUUAUAAGCUCCGGCUAACUACGUGCCAGCCGCCGCAGUAAGAC
rnacentral:rRNA from 1 species